UGUGAUCAUACGUUGUUGUACGUAGGGGAUUUGGACCCUGAGGUCGACGAGAGUGGUUUCGGUUCAAUCAGGAAUGAGCAAAAACCAACAACAAGGGGAAGAAUGAACUUUUAUGGUACUGGUAUGAACGUCUUCUAUGGGGUUGAAGCCUGAAAUCAGGAUCUCUCUUAUUUACCUCUGAGUUCUUAAAAUGGGAGUAUAAGUGGAGGAGGGAGUGUUCCAGCACCAAAAGCAUCUCCUGAGCAUUAGUAAGGAUUGUUAUGAUGUUCUUAUAGGAGAAUAAGAAUGUUGCUGUUUUGACAACUAAAGCUAAGGUAACAAAGUUGUCAGUUUUGAAAAGGGCCAAAAAAAUCUUGAGGAAAGAGGAUUUAUAAUGUUAGGUUUAUUAUGAUGCACUGGAUAGAAAUGAACCAUUGGCUUUGGACAUGGGAAGCAUGGAGAAGGAUCAGCUGCAAGGAGAAAGAACAGUGGCAUGGUGAGUGGUGUUACUGCUGUCAGUGAAAAAAGAGCAGUUGGCAACAAGUUAAAACACCUGUCAAAAGAAUAGAGAGCUCUGAGAUCCUGUUAUCGGCGGUGUGGUGCAGAGUAUGGAGGACGGCAGCAGCUUAAGGGUCAUUUGUUUUACGACGAAGGGUUUUAGUGUGGAUAACUUUUUAUUAGCAUUUUUUUAAGGAACAACUUCUCUGACAAAGCUCAAGGUGUGAAAUCAGCUGCAACGUGCUCCGGCUGAAGUGGCACCUGCCAAAGCGAUACAGGAUUUACAAUGUAAAUGUCAGAAGUAAAUCCCUCUCUUGCUGAGGAGGCACUACAGGAAUUCACGAACAAGAUAGCCAAUCUAAAAAUCAAACAAGAAGAUUUGAAGUUGAAAGUAAAGCGCAGUAUAAAAUAGUAGAAAACGAUGUUUUUCGAGCAAAUUAUUUGUUCUAGGAGAUGGAUUAUGCAAACUUGAGUGUUAUUGUUGGAAACAAGAGAACUUAAGUGAUAAAUUAUGGACUAUACAAAAAUCUAAACGUGGUCAAGUUAGUGUUAUACAAAAUAUUUUAACAUUU